ACCUACGGGGGGCAGCAGUGAGGAAUAUUGGUCAAUGGUCGGGAGACUGAACCAGCCAAGCCGCGUGAGGGAGGAAGGUACAGAGUAUCGUAAACCUCUUUUGUCAGGGAACAAAGGCGGGGACGUGUCCCCGGAUGAGUGUACCUGAAGAAAAAGCAUCGGCUAACUCCGUGCCAGCAGCCGCGGUAAUACGGAGGAUGCGAGCGUUAUCCGGAUUUAUUGGGUUUAAAGGGUGCGCAGGCGGUCUGUUAAGUCAGCGGUCAAAGCCCGGGGCUCAACCUCGGCCCGCCGUUGAAACUGGCAGU
rnacentral:rRNA from 1 species